UGUGGGGGAGGUGAGGACAUUUUGGCAGCUUCACUCACUUCACUGUGCAGAGAGACUGAGUGACAGAACGAAUUCAGAUAAUGGAAAGACAGAAUCAAGAAAAUGAGCAGGUAUCAGAAAAAAGAGGCAGGAAGCGAUCAAGAGAGCAUCAUAGCCCUGGACAGGCAGAGAGAAGUGAAGAAGAUGACCAGAGUCUUGGUCAUACUGAUCUUUCAGACAGUGAAUAUGUGCCUUCCACAUCCUCUGACAGUGAAGACUGCAGUGCUGAUGAAGC